rnacentral:rRNA from 1 species
CUAUCUGUGGUGGGCGUUACGGAAUUGAGAAGACAUGACCUUAGUACGAGAGGACCGGGUCGUACACACCGCUGGUGUAUCUGUUGUGCCGCCAGGUGCAGUGCAGAGUAGCUACGUGUGGCAAGGAUAAGCGCUGAAAGCAUCUAAGCGCGAAACCUUCUUCAAGAUGAGUUCCGUUUUAAGGGUCGUAGUAGACGACUACGUUGAUAGGCUAUAGGUGUAAAGUUGGUAACAACAAAGCCGAGUAGUACUAAUUGCCCGUAAGCUUUUACUUU